AUAAGAUACUUAUCUUUCAGGUUGUUGUUGUUACUGUUGCGUUUCCUGCGACACCUCUUCUUCUUGCUAGGGCACGCAUAUGCAUUUCUGCUUCACAUACUAGGGAGGACCUGAUUAAAGCCCUUGAUGUUAUCAGCAGAGUUGGCGACCUUGUGGGCAUCAAAUACUUCCCUGCAGAACCACCAAAGAUUGCUGGAGCUGAUCAUGAUAAGCUGGAGUAGGAAUCAACCCUUAGUUGCCCCAUGAGUGAUUGAAGUUGUUAGAAUCCCUUGGAGUUGUCAACAAAUCAUUAUGGAAAGAAGCACAUAUUAAGCCAUUUCAUUUGGAUCUUGGCAAUACACAAGAGUCCAGGAUCCAUCAUAUUAUGCUGACUACUGUUUGUUGAUUGUACAACUGUUCUUCCAAUUGUGUAUAACUGGUUGAAAUUCAGUUGUUCUGUUGUUAAUCCAUUCCCAAUAUGUAAUACAAUUAGAGGCAAUAUAAACUUCGAGUAGAACAUUACUGAGUUUCCCUUGCAGAUCA